rnacentral:rRNA from 1 species
GGAAUAUUGGACAAUGGGCGCAAGCCUGAUCCAGCCAUGCCGCGUGAGUGAUGAAGGCCCUAGGGUUGUAAAGCUCUUUCACCGGUGAAGAUAAUGACGGUAACCGGAGAAGAAGCCCCGGCUAACUCCGUGCCAGCAGCCGCGGUAAUACGGGGGGGGCGAGCGUUGUUCGGAUUUACUGGGCGUAAAGGGCGCGUAGGCGGUCUCAGAAGUUCUGGGUGAAAGCCCCCGGCUCAACCGGGGAAGUGCCUGGAAAACCAUGGGACUGGAGUGCUGGAGAGGCAAGCGGAAUUUCUGGUGUAGCGGUGAAAUGCGUAGAUAUCAGAAGGAACAUCUGAGGCGAAGGCGGCUUGCUGGACAGACACUGACGCUGAGGCGCGAAAGCUAGGGGAGCAAA